rnacentral:rRNA from 1 species
UACGUAGGGUGCAAGCGUUAAUCGGAAUUACUGGGCGUAAAGCGUGCGCAGGCGGUUCGUUAAGUCAGCUGUGAAAGCCCCGGGCUCAACCUGGGAAUGGCGGUUGAAACUGGCGAACUUGAAUCUGGCAGAGGGGGGUGGAAUUCCACGUGUAGCAGUGAAAUGCGUAGAGAUGUGGAGGAACACCGAUGGCGAAGGCAGCCCCCUGGGCUGAGAUUGACGCUCAGGCACGAAAGCGUGGGGAGCAAACAGG